AUUGAACGCUGGCGGCGUGCUUAACACAUGCAAGUCGAUCGGUAACGCGGGGGCAACCCAGGCGACGAGAGGCGGACGGGUGAGGAACGCUUGGGAAUCUGCCCUUCAGCGGGGGACAACACGGGGAAACUCGUGCUAAUACCGCAUACGCUCCACGGAGGAAAGCCGGGGACCGCAAGGCCUGGCACUGAAGGAUGAGCCCAAGUCGGAUUAGCUAGUUGGCGGGGUAACGGCCCACCAAGGCGACGAUCCGUAGCUGGUCUGAGAGGACGAUCAGCCACACUGGGACUGAGACACGGCCCAGACUCCUACGGGAGGCAGCAGUGGGGAAUAUUGGACAAUGGGGGAAACCCUGAUCCAGCGACGCCGCGUGGGUGAAGAAGGCCUGCGGGUUGUAAAGCCCUUUCGGUAGGGACGAAAGCUCUCGACCUAACACGUCGGGAGGUUGACUUAACCUACAAAAGAAGCACCGGCUAACUCUGUGCCAGCCGCCGCAGUAACAC
rnacentral:rRNA from 1 species